ACCCAGCGCCGCUCGUCAUCUUCCACAGUUACCCUAGCGGAGGGAGAGACGCAGUGAUUCUGCAAAUUUUUUGGCAAUCCGGCAAAGAUGUCGAUGUCGUCGAAGAGCUCCAAGAUGCUUCAAUACAUCAACUAUCGCAUGCGCGUGACGAUUCAGGACGGCCGUCAGUUGAUCGGGAAGUUCAUGGCCUUCGAUCGCCACAUGAACCUCGUCCUCGGAGACUGCGAGGAGUUCCGAAAAUUGCCGCCGACGAAAGGUUCGAAAGAGGAGCGGGAAGACCGCCGCACGCUCGGCCUCGUGCUGCUCAGGGGCGAAGAAGUCAUUUCCCUCACCGUCGAAGGUCCUCCUCCCCCCGACGAAUCUCGCCUCAAAACCGCCUCUGCUACCGCAUUCCCUGGCCCUGGAAUUGGUCGGGCGGCCGGUCGAGGCGUCAUCACCGGCGCAGUCACUCAGGCUCAGCCCGGACUCGCCGGUCCGGUUCGCGGUAUUGGAGGACCUGCGCCUAGUAUGAUGCAGCCACAGAUUGCUCGCCCUCCGCAGAUAUCAGGUCCGCCUGUGUCGUAUCCGCAACAGCCGCCGCCGGUGGCUAGGCCGCCGUCCAUUGCUCCUCCAGGAGGCUUUCCUCCGAGGCCUGGAAUGCCGAUGCCUCCUCCGCCACAGUUUCGGCCAGGUGUGCCGCCUCCUGGUGGAUUUGCUCCACCGCCUCAGUUCGGACAGAGGCCUCCGAUGGUGCCGCCACCUCAGAUGAUGAGAGGUCCUCCUCCCCCUGGACCUCCACUGAGACCUGGAAUGCCUGGCGGGCCUCCGCCAGGCCAACAACCACCAAGACCAGGCAUGCCUCCUCCCCCACCUGCAGGUGGACAAUCUCAAGGCUUUGGUCCUCCAAGGCCGGGAAUGCCGCCCCCUCAGAAUCAGCAGUAAGAGCAAAAGCUAUAUGUUUAGGUUUCAAACAAUUUUAAUAAAGCUAGAGCUCGACUUCUUUAUCAACUUGAAAGAUCCAGACUUGAGCCUUAUUGGACUGAGCUUCACUUGAUGAAAUUGUUAUAUUACCAGUUGCAAUGAAGAUCCCUAAUAAGCACAAUUGUGUUGCUUGAUUUGGGUUUUGGCAAGUUUGGAUUUUGCUGAGAAGGUUACAAAAAGGCGAGUUUGGAGACGUAGAUUUUGUGGUGAAACUUGAUUAAAUUCAAUAUGGAACUUAUUGUCAGUAGAUUUUCUGGUCUUAAAAAUAGAUAAAUUUGUAGUAAAUAAUACAAUGAGCUUUUAAUGUUAUUUUUGUAUUUGUAAGUUAUAUAUAUAUAUAUAUUUGGUUUUUUAGUUGAAAAUAUAGCCAACAGGGGGUUGUGUCGAUAGUUUUUUGUGAGUCACUCCAACUUACACUCAUACUUUAAAGUCUACAUUGUUAAAGUUAGUGUUAUAUUUAUAUUAAAUAUAUUGUAUAUUAUUAUAGUUGUUAUAAUAAUUUUAUUAAUUUAUUCAA